CCUACGGUACGCAGCAGUGGGGAAUAUUGGACAAUGGGCGAAAGCCUGAUCCAGCCAUGCCGCGUGUGUGAAGAAGGCCUUCGGGUUGUAAAGCACUUUCAGUGGGGAAGAAAGCCUUGGGGCUAAUACCCUCGAGGAAGGACAUCACCCACAGAAGAAGCACCGGCUAACUCCGUGCCAGCAGCCGCGGUAAUACGGAGGGUGCGAGCGUUAAUCGGAAUUACUGGGCGUAAAGCGCGCGUAGGCGGUCUGAUAAGCCGGUUGUGAAAGCCCCGGGCUCAACCUGGGAAUGGCAUCCGGAACUGUCAGGCUAGAGUGCAGGAGAGGAAGGUAGAAUUCCCGGUGUAGCGGUGAAAUGCGUAGAGAUCGGGAGGAAUACCAGUGGCGAAGGCGGCCUUCUGGACUGACACUGACGCUGAGGUGCGAAAGCGUGGGUAGCAAACAGGAUUAGAUACCCGAGUAGUC
rnacentral:rRNA from 1 species